GUUCAUUCUUGAACAUGUACUGAAACUGGAAUGAUACAGAGACGAUUAGCAUGGUCGCUGCUCAAGAAUGACCACGCAAAUUUGCAAAAACGCUCCAAUUUUU
rfam:Oesophagostomum dentatum strain OD-Hann O_dentatum-1.0_Cont10711.2, whole genome shotgun sequence.